rnacentral:rRNA from 1 species
ACGCAACACGUAACGCAACCUACCCAUAACUGGGGAAUAGCCCGGGGAAACCCGGAUUAAUACCCCGUAACAUAAUGAGAUGGCAUCAUCUUAUUAUUAUAGCUCCGGCGGUUAUGGAUGGGCGUGCGCCUGAUUAGGUAGUUGGCGGAGUAAUAGCCCACCAAGCCUACGAUCAGUAACUGGUGUGAGAGCACGACCAGUCACACGGGCACUGAGACACGGGCCCG